CCCGCCUUAGCUCAGUCUGGCUAGAGCGGCUGACUGUAGUGGGUUACCGGUCUUUCCGGUUCUCAGCCGCCGAUAUCAGCAGGCCCCCGGUUCAAAUCCGGGAGGUGGGA
rnacentral:tRNA from 1 species